rnacentral:misc_RNA from 1 species
CCGAGUUAUGGGGGCUCUGCCCCCGACUCCCACCCGUUGUGUACCAAACUUUAUUGCUUUGGCGGGCCGGUGCUCGUCGCCGCCGGCGCCUCGUCGCUGGACAGCGCCCGCCGAAGGAUACAACAACCCGCGUCAACCGUACUCUGAGUGAAAAAGAAUUAUUGA